CCUACGGGUGGCUGCAGUGGGGAAUAUUGGACAAUGGGGGCAACCCUGAUCCAGCCAUGCCGCGUGUGUGAAGAAGGCCCUCGGGUUGUAAAGCACUUUCAGUGAGGAAGAACGCCUGGUGGUUAAUACCCAUCAGGAAAGACAUCACUCACAGAAGAAGCACCGGCUAACUCCGUGCCAGCAGCCGCGGUAAUACGGAGGGUGCGAGCAUUAAUCGGAAUUACUGGGCGUAAAGCGCGCGUAGGUGGCUUGAUAAGCCGGUUUGAAAGCCCCGGGCUCAACCUGGGAACGGCAUCCGGAACUGUCAAGCUAGAGUGCAGGAGAGGAAGGUAGAAUUCCCGGUGUAGCGGUGAAAUGCGUAGAGAUCGGGAGGAAUACCAGUGGCGAGGCGGCCUUCUGGACUGACACUGACACUGAGGUGCGAAAGCGUGGGUAGCAAACAGGAUUAGAUACCCGUGUAGUC
rnacentral:rRNA from 1 species